GGUGGACUUCUGCUUUUCAACUCUAGCGUAGUCCCCUCAUUCUCCAGCUUUCCACUCACCUGAAGCCUAGGAACUACAAAGAUGUGAAUUAUUUAAAGAAAUGUUUUCAGUUCAGUUGUUCUCACAGACAUGUCGGUGCUGUCUAUACCUGAGUGGAUUACACACUAAUUCAGAUCAUAUAAAUAUUUAGUCUGCAAAGAUUUGUACUACAGUAGUACAGGAAACAUAGAUGAUAUAUUAAGGACAGUAUGUCAUUAGCUGUGUUAAACAUUCACAGCUACAUAUAAAAAGGAUGCCAUUUCUGAAUGUAGCCUUUUAAAAUUGCUAUGUAUAGCUACAUAAAAUAGAUACGUGAUUUUUAUAAAUGCAGCUAAACUGUAGCUAAAGGAAACACACCAGUGCAACAUUUCACACCUCGGAAAUGAAACAAUUAAAAUAUGUCUUGGUGGUAGCUAAAUUAUGGUGAAGUAAUUUUAAAUUCAUCAGACAGAUGAGGCUUAAUGUACCCAACUAUCCACUUCAGUCCACAAUGGUUGUGUCUAUAGGUACACAAAUCAUUGUGUUAGAAAACACCAUUAAACAAGAUUUUGUCUUUAGGAUCAACAAGAAUUUUAAAAGUGUUAGUAAAUAUGUUUUCUAGCACAAUCCACUUUCAAGUAUAGAUCAAACCAAUAUAUGGAAAGAGCUAUCCCUUGAUCCAGCAAUGCCACACAGAUUUCUGCAUGGAACCACAUUAACCUCCACUAGGCUCCAGUGAAGGUGCAGGGACAGGAGUUCAUUGCAACAUUGGAACCUUAUACCUAUGUUUAAUGUGAUGGGACUACUCAUUCUGAAAGAUACGUGGGAUGAGCCAUGGGGAGAAACUGCAGUUGAAGAGGGGAACAACUCCCCAUGUGCCCAUUUUCAUUGAGCAAAUGGUGAAAUAUCAGCCAUAGAAAGAAAUAAAUCGACAGUGGGGAAUGCUUCACAAAUGGAAAACAAUAGCCAAGCCCAGCGGUAACAAUCUGGAAGGAGUAUGGCCCAAAUGGAUUGUCGAAAUUCGGGGCCCCUUGGGCAUUUCAGUUUGGAAACAGAAAUUGAGAACAAUCAGGUAUUUCUUUGGGGCAGUUUUGUUUAUUCAGAAAGAAUGUGCAAAGUCCUGUGUCUUUAAACCCAGAAGGAACCAUGGACAGAAAACAGCUUCUUUUGCUCAAAGCAUCAAGAGUGCUCUGUGCUUUUGUAACCUACAUGCCUACUAAGGAUACCUAGCAAGAAGGGGGGUGAGAAUUGACUAAGUUGUGUCAGGGUUAUUGUUACUAAUGCUGAGGGAAAAUCUUGAUUGCUAUGGUUGUCCCCUAGUCUCCAUCUUGGUUUUUCAAAACAACAAGAAGGACUCCAUGUUGGACACCCUCCUUCAUGGAGAGCUUCCCACCUCCUCUCCAUGCCUUUCUCAGAUUAGAAUGGGAAAAGGCAUCAGGUGGUUAGAAUCAUGACUGUACAGUCUGCCUAGCAACUGCAAACUGUUGAGGUGGCAGCCUCCCAGCUUCUUGGUGCUGUCCAUCCAAGUGGCAGGCUCUGUCUCCCAUACUACUAGCCUGUGAAAUGUGUUCUAGCUAGGCCAGGAUUGUAGCAUAUGUAAGCAGGGUCAGGGUAAGCUCUACCCUGACAUCUGGUGGUGAACUGUGGCAAGUGGUGCAAAGAGACUUCAGGG